AGAGUUUGAUCCUGGCUCAGGACGAACGCUGGCGGCGCGCCUAACACAUGCAAGUCGAACGAGCGAGAGAGAGCUUGCUUUCUCGAGCGAGUGGCGAACGGGUGAGUAACGCGUGAGGAACCUGCCUCAAAGAGGGGGACAACAGUUGGAAACGACUGCUAAUACCGCAUAAGCCCACGGGUCGGCAUCGACCAGAGGGAAAAGGAGCAAUCCGCUUUGAGAUGGCCUCGCGUCCGAUUAGCUAGUUGGUGAGGUAAUGGCCCACCAAGGCGACGAUCGGUAGCCGGACUGAGAGGUUGAACGGCCACAUUGGGACUGAGACACGGCCCAGACUCCUACGGGAGGCAGCAGUGGGGAAUAUUGCACAAUGGGGGAAACCCUGAUGCAGCGACGCCGCGUGGAGGAAGAAGGUCUUCGGAUUGUAAACUCCUGUUGUUGGGGAAGAUAAUGACGGUACCCAACAAGGAAGUGACGGCUAACUACGUGCCAGCAGCCGCGGUAAAACGUAGGUCACAAGCGUUGUCCGGAAUUACUGGGUGUAAAGGGAGCGCAGGCGGGAAGACAAGUUGGAAGUGAAAUCUAUGGGCUCAACCCAUAAACUGCUUUCAAAACUGUUUUUCUUGAGUAGUGCAGAGGUAGGCGGAAUUCCCGGUGUAGCGGUGGAAUGCGUAGAUAUCGGGAGGAACACCAGUGGCGAAGGCGGCCUACUGGGCACCAACUGACGCUGAGGCUCGAAAGUGUGGGUAGCAAACAGGAUUAGAUACCCUGGUAGUCCACACCGUAAACGAUGAUUACUAGGUGUUGGAGGAUUGACCCCUUCAGUGCCGCAGUUAACACAAUAAGUAAUCCACCUGGGGAGUACGACCGCAAGGUUGAAACUCAAAGGAAUUGACGGGGGCCCGCACAAGCAGUGGAGUAUGUGGUUUAAUUCGACGCAACGCGAAGAACCUUACCAAGUCUUGACAUCCCUUGACAGACAUAGAAAUAUGUAAUCUCUUCGGAGCAAGGAGACAGGUGGUGCAUGGUUGUCGUCAGCUCGUGUCGUGAGAUGUUGGGUUAAGUCCCGCAACGAGCGCAACCCUUAUGGUCAGUUACUACGCAAGAGGACUCUGGCCAGUCUGCCGUUGACAAAACGGAGGAAGGUGGGGAUGACGUCAAAUCAUCAUGCCUUUAUGACUUGGGCUACACACGUACUACAAUGGCGUUAAACAAAGAGAAGCAAGACCGCGAGGUGGAGCAAAACUCAGAAACAACGUCCCAGUUCGGACUGCAGGCUGCAUCUCGCCUGCACGAAGUCGGAAUUGCU
rnacentral:rRNA from 1 species